UCCAUUAAUUAAGAUAGGGUACUGCAUUACUGAAACAAAGUGCUCUGCUGCAGAUGAAUGCUUGGCAGAAGAUAAUGAAAUUUGUAG